UGCUGACCGGGUGCCUGCACUAAGUUCGGCAUCAAUAUGGUGACCUCCUGGGAGUGGUGGGGCCACCAAGUUGCCUAAGGAUGGCUGAACUGGCCCAGGUCAGAAAUGGAGCAGGUCAGAAUUCCUGCACUGACCAGUAGUGGGACUGUGCCUGGGCG
ensembl:misc_RNA Metazoa_SRP Metazoan signal recognition particle RNA